UNUGACUUGAGUGCAGAAGGGGAGAGUGGAAUUCCAUGUGUAGCGGUGAAAUGCGUAGAUAUAUGGAGGAACACCAGUGGCGAAAGCGGCUCUCUGGUCUGUCACUGACGCUGAGGCUCGAAAGCGUGGGUAGCGAACAGGAUUAGAUACCCUGGUAGUNCACGCCGUAAACGAUGAGUGCUAGGUGUUAGGCCCUUUCCGGGGCUUAGUGCCGGAGCUAACGCAAUAAGCACUCCGCCUGGGGAGUACGACCGCAAGGUUGAAACUCAAAGGAAUUGACGGGGGCCCGCACAAGCGGUGGAGCAUGUGGUUUAAUUCGAAGCAACGCGAAGAACCUUACCAGGUCUUGACAUCCCGAUGCUAUUCUUAGAGAUAGGAAGUUACUUCGGUACAUCGGAGACAGGUGGUGCAUGGUUGUCGUCAGCUCGUGUCGUGAGAUGUUGGGUUAAGNCCCGCAACGAGCGCAACCCUUAUUGUUAGUUGCCAUCAUUAAGUUGGGCACUCUAGCGAGACUGCCGGUAAUAAACCGGAGGAAGGUGGGGAUGACGUCAAAUCAUCAUGCCCCUUAUGACCUGGGCUACACACGUGCUACAAUGGUCGGUACAACGAGUUGCGAGCCGGUGACGGCAAGCUAAUCUCUGAAAGCCGAUCUCAGUUCGGAUUGGAGGCUGCAACUCGCCUCCAUGAAGUCGGAAUCGCUAGUAAUCGCGGAUCAGCACGCCGCGGUGAAUACGUUCCCGGGCCUUGUNCAC
rnacentral:rRNA from 1 species